rnacentral:rRNA from 1 species
GAGACAGCAGUCGCCACGGGAAUACAGAGGGUGCGAGCGUUAAUCGGAUUUACUGGGCGUAAAGCGUGCGUAGGCGGCUUCUUAAGUCGGAUGUGAAAUCCCUGAGCUUAACUUAGGAAUUGCAUUCGAUACUGGGAAGCUAGAGUAUGGGAGAGGAUGGUAGAAUUCCAGGUGUAGCGGUGAAAUGCGUAGAGAUCUGGAGGAAUACCGAUGGCGAAGGCAGCCAUCUGGCCUAAUACUGACGCUGAGGUACGAAAGCAUGGGGAGCAAACAGGAUUAGAUACCCCCGUAGUCCCUGUCUCUUAUAC